CGUCUAUAUACGUAUAGCAUAUCAAUAAGCGGAGGAAAAGAAACUAACAAGGAUUCCCUAGUAACGGCGAGUGAAGCGGGAAGAGCUCAAAUUUGAAAUCUUCAAGGUUUUACCUUGACGAAUUGUAGUUUAAAGAAGUGUUUUCUGUUAGAGAGUUUGGUAAAAGUUCUUUGGAAUAGGACAUCAUAGAGGGUGAGAAUCCCGUAUUUGACCAUUAUUUCCAGCUUUGUGAUACACUUUCAAAGAGUCGGAUUGUUUGGGAAUGCAGUCCAAAAUGGGUGGUAAAUUUCAUCUAAAGCUAAAUACUGGCGAGAGACCGAUAGCGAACAAGUACCGUGAGGGAAAGAUGAAAAGAACUUUGAAAAGAGAGUUAAACAGUACGUGAAAUUGUCAAAAGGGAAGCGUUUGACACCAGUGUUGUUUAGUUGAAAAUCAAUUCAAUAGUUUUUGAUUCUAAGUAGUAUUGACUUCAUCAGCUUGCUGCUUUCUUCUCAGAAAUUAUUGAAUGCACUUUUCAGUUAACAAGUCAACAUCAAUUUCUUUUGUUGUAAAAGGGUAAGAGGAAGGUGGCUUGCGCUUCGGCUCAAGUGUUUAUAGCCUUUUAUCUCUGCAAUCGGAGAGAUUGAGGUCUGCAGCGUAGAUCCUUCGGGGUUAGAUACAUUGGUGCUAAGCUAUAGCCUUGUAUAGACAACUUGUUGACUAUGUUCAGUCAUGUAGCUUACUCGCUGAUGCUAUUUUACCUACGCUUAGGAUGUUGACACACGCGCGUGCUCG
rnacentral:rRNA from 1 species